rnacentral:miRNA from 15 species
GAAAUCAAGGGUGGGUGAGACCU